CCGGCCAGCAUCCCAGGCCUCAGCGGGACUGCCCUCAUGUGUGGGUGGUGGUGGGAUCCCGGGAUGGUUUCCCUGAUGGCCCGGCCAUG
rnacentral:pre_miRNA from 1 species